CGCCCCCACUCCCCCCGCCCCCGCCCCCGAGCGCGCGCUAGCUGCCGGCGGGACCCGCGCUGCUAAUGGGCGGUACCAACCUCGCCAGCUGAGGCGGGGGGCACGGGGAGGAGGUGGCGAGCCCCCCCUAGGGAUUGGUAUCGCUCCCCCGCCCCCUACACACAAACCCUCCCCAGCCUAGGCGGCUCCGGUUUGAGGCGCUGGAGCAGGGGCUGCGGGCUGGGGCCGAGCCACGCCGGUCUCGGCUCUCUAGAGUUAAAGCUCGCCCGGCCCGUUGCCUGCACCCCCAUCCCACCCCGCCUCCAUCCUGGCUGUUCCUGGCGCCCAGCUUGGCAGCCUUUCUCAAAGGCUCGUAGCCAAGAUGAGCAAUGGAAGGAACAAUCUUUCACUGUACAUUACAAUCAGGCCCUGGCUAGCAGUAUCUUCUGGGGUGAAUGCCUAAUCAUCAUUAUUGUCAUCAUUAUCAUCACCACCAUCCCUACUAUUUAUUAGGUCCACUGAGGAUACCAGACCUGGAACAAGAGCCAGAAAGAUUCUUAGAGAUCAUCCAGUCCAGUGGUGUACAUACUUGGUUCUUCCAAACAAAACUGUAUGAAAUGCUCCACUAUUU